UAGGCGGCGCGGGGCGGCCGGCAUGGAGCUCCGGGAGGCGCGGCAGGGUCAGGAGCUCGGUGGCACGGCGGCGGUGGCUGCCCCGAUUUCCUCCAGCUGCCACUCCUUGCUUCGUGUCCCCGGUCCCUAGACGCCUCGUCCCCUCCCGUGUCCCUCUUCCCAUGGAGUCAGUACGGACCGAACAGAUGCUGAGCUUGCCCGCCGAGGUCAGCAGCGACAACUUGGAGCUGGCGGAGCGAGGGGCAUCAGCGGCCCAAGUAGACAUGGGCCCCCACCCAAAGGCGGCUGCAGAGGGCCCCGCACCUCUACCGACGCGGGAGCCAGAGCAAGAGCGGUCUCCGGGGACCUCAACGCCGGAGAGCAAAGUCCUGCUCACGCAGGCAGACGCCUUGGCGUCCCGGGGGCGAAUCCGGGAAGCCCUCGAGGUGUAUAGACAGCUCUCCGAGCGGCAGCAGCUGGUGGCUGAGCAGCUGGAGCAGCUGGUGCGCUGCCUGGCGGAGAAAGUCCCGCAAGGCGAGGCGCUGGCGCCGGCGCCCCCGGACGAGGGUAGCACUGCAAGCGGCACCGUGGCGGCGGAAGAGACGGGGGCCGCCGCGGCUGCGGCGGCCACCGAGGUGUGGGACGGCUUUAAGUGCCGGAAAUGUCAUGGGUUUCUAUCAGACCCCGUGUCCUUGUCGUGUGGCCACACCUUUUGUAAACUGUGCCUGGAACGUGGGCGGGCCGCCGACCGGCGCUGUGCGCUGUGCGGGGUCAAGCUCUCCGCGUUGAUGGUGGCCACUGGGCGGGCGCGUGGAGCCCGGCGGGCUGGGCAGCAGCCGCCGCCGCCGCCACUGCGAGUCAACGUGGUGCUCAGCGGCCUCCUUGGCAAGUUGUUCCCAGGCCCGGCGCGGGCGUCGCAACUCCGGCACGAGGGCAACCGGCUGUACCGCGAGCGCCAGGUGGAGGCGGCACUGCUCAAGUACAACGAGGCAGUUAAGUUGGCUCCGAAUGACCACUUGCUUUAUAGCAAUCGGUCUCAGAUUUAUUUCACCUUGGAGUCUCAUGAGAAUGCACUACAUGAUGCAGAAAUAGCAUGUAAGCUCCGCCCAAUGGGUUUUAAGGCACAUUUCAGAAAAGCCCAAGCCUUAGCCACCCUAGGCAAGGUGGAGGAGGCACUAAGGGAGUUUCUCUACUGUGUAUCCCUUGAUGGAAAGAACAAGAGAGCAAGAUGUGAAGCCCAAAGAGACAAUCUGGAGCUCCCACAUUGUUCUAGUCAGGAGGAAGCAGCAGUCAGGGGACCCAGCAGUGUGAUGGACCCAGCUAAAGUGAAGGGGGAUGGUCAGCAGCACCACAUGAAAGACCAGGAAGAAGAGGAGGAGAAGCGGGAUGCUACCUCUCCAAAAGCUGCUUCCAGCAAGACUGGAAAAUGCCAGGAAAAGAAAAGGAAACAUUGCCACAUUGAAUCCCAAGAAGAAACAGGGAUGCCUAAUAAAGCCUCCAAGCAAGAUCCUCCCACUGAUCAGGGGGACAAACCUGCUCUCAGUUUACCACUUGCAUCUUUCGACGCAUCUGACCUUGAAUGCGCUCUAUGUAUGAGAUUAUUCUAUGAGCCAGUCACAACACCUUGCGGGCAUACUUUUUGCCUAAAAUGCCUAGAAAGAUGCCUAGAUCACAACGCAAAGUGUCCAUUGUGCAAAGACGGUCUUUCACAGUGCUUGGCAUCAAGAAAAUACAGCAAAAAUGUAAUAAUGGAGGAGCUCAUAGCUAAAUUCCUUCCAGAAGAACUGAAGGAGCGAAGGAAGCUUUAUGAAGAGGAAAUGGAAGAACUUUCUAACCUUAAUAAGAAUGUGCCUAUUUUCGUGUGUACUAUGGCCUAUCCCACCGUUCCUUGUCCCCUGCACAUCUUUGAGCCUUGUUACCGCCUGAUGAUUCGUAGAUGUAUUGAGACAGGCACGAGACAGUUUGGCAUGUGCCUUGGAGAUCCUGUCAAAGGGUUCAGGGAGAGGAUUGUGCUGAGCUCAUGGGAUUACAUAACUGUGUCUAUCAGCAAGCGUCAUUGUGGUUUCAUUCACUCAAAUCAUCCCUAAAGAAUCGGAUACUCAAUCACUUUGGUCCCAUGCCGGAGAAAGACGCUGAUCCUCAGAUGAACCCAAAUGGCCCAGCCUGGUGCUGGUGGAUGUUAGCGGUUCUUCCCUUGGAAAGCCGAGCUCAGCUCCCCUUCCUAGCAAUGAGGUCCUUAAAGGACAGACUGAAUGGUAUUCGACGAGUCCUGGCCUUCAUAUCCCGAAACCAAAACUAGUGAGUGGAUUGCCGAAGAGGAGCUCUCACCUUCCCCACUGCUGUCGGGGAGAGUCUUCUUGUAAAUAUAUCUAAUUGCAAUAAUAUCUUAACAGAAGGGGGUGUCAAGCAGAGGCAUCAGCCUGCUGUUGAUCACAGAGAGAAAUUGAGUAGAAAGACCAAAAGAAUGUGACCUAUUUGAAACUUUCUGUCUUAAGCUGCUUCUUGACAUGCUGCAUAACUACGUAAACAGCAGAGGUGUUUAAGAACCCAGAAAAACGUAAUUUGAUUUUAACAUUAAAAUUUCCAAAAGUUUAAAGUGGUUUUGCUUUAAUAUUCUUUCUUUCAUAGAUCAAUGACUGUGUGGUUGAAAUGUGAAAACAAAGAUACUAAUAAUGUUGCUGUAUAAUUUCACUGACUUGAGGUCUCAUUCCAAAUGGUUCAGGUUUUAUAGAGCAUUGUGUAAAAUAAUGUUCAUACUUCUUUCUGUUUUAAUAAUUUAUUUUUUGCACUACUGUAUCCUUUUUUCUACAUGUAUGUUUGUAACUAUUUAAGCGUACAUUGCUGAAAAGUCCGUUGCUUUAUUUAUUGAUGUGGUUUACCAUGUACCUAGGGGGAAAUAACAAUACUAGAAGUGUGCAGUUUUUGCUUUAAUCUUUUUUUUACUACAAUGACACUAGUUCUUAGAUCAUUUCUGUCCAAAUGGAUGCUUAAAAGAAGUUCAGGAUGAUGCUAAGAUCAUCUGUCUUCAGAGUCCACUUUUUUUUUCAGUUUGAACUAAACAAUAUAAAAUACUUAAGGGAUUUGGCCUAGAUUAUGGUAUAUGCCAAGGUAAAGUAAAAUAAAUAAUUCAUUUUCUGUGUGUAAUACAGAACAAAGCUGAAAGAAUUAUUUUUAUUAUAGGCAUUUACUUCAGCAAUCUAAUUGUACAUGUAUCUAAUUUUUCCCCAGUGCAGUUAGGAAUCAGAUUUUAGGCAGGAUUGUAAUUAACUCUUCAGAGGAAAUGGUGUUCAGUUUAGCACAUCACAGUCAUGCCCAACUAGCCUCCAUAACCCACCUCUCCCCAGGGUUCUGAGGAUCAAGACCUGGGCAGAAACACUUGAUAAGGACUUUUUCUUAUUAAAAAUGUAAAUAAGCCAAAUAGAGUAGAACCCUAUAAAAAUCUUUUUAAAGGAACCAGACGGC